GAUCUGGGGCGCUGGGGUGGGAUCUGGGGCACAGGGGUGAGAUCGGGCUUACAGGGGUGGGAUCUGGGGCUCUGGGGUGCUGGGGUGGGAUCUGGGUUACCAGGGGUGAGAUCGGGGGCGCUGGGGUGAGAUCUGGGUUACAGGGGUGAGAUCGGGGGCGCUGGGGUGAGAUCUGGGUUACAGGGGUGGGAUCUGGGGCUCUGGGGUGAGAUCUGGGGUGCUGGGGUGAGGUCUGGGUUACAGGGGUGAGAUCUGGGUUACAGGGGUGAGAUCUGGGGCGCUGGGGUGAGAUCUGGGGUGCUGGGGUGAGAUCUGGGUUACAGGGGUGAGAUCUGGGGCGCUGGGGUGAGAUCUGGGGUGCUGGGGUGAGGUCUGGGUUACAGGGGUGAGAUCUGGGGUGCUGGGGUGAGAUCUGGGUUACAGGGGUGGGAUCUGGGGUGCUGGGGUGAGAUCUGGGUUACAGGAGUGGGAUCUGGGGUGCUGGGGUGAGGUCUGGGUUACAGGGGUGAGAUCUGGGGCGCUGGGUGAGAUCUGGGUUAGAGGGGUGGGAUCUGGGGCUCUGGGGCUGGGGUGGGAUCUGGGUUACAGGGGUGGGAUUGGAGUGCUGGGGUGAGAUCUGGGUUACAGGGUGAGAUCUGGGGCGGGGUGGGUCUGGGUUACAGGGGUGAGAUCUGGGCGCUGGGGUGAGAUCUGGGGCGCUGGGGUGAG
ensembl:lncRNA